rnacentral:rRNA from 1 species
UUCGGGGUACUCGAGUGGSGAACGGGUGAGUAACACGUGGGUGAUCUGCCCUGCACUUUGGGAUAAGCCUGGGAAACUGGGUCUAAUACCGAAUAGGACCACGCGCUUCAUGGUGUGUGGUGGAAAGCUUUUGCGGUGUGGGAUGGGCCCGCGGCCUAUCAGCUUGUUGGUGGGGUAAUGGCCUACCAAGGCGACGACGGGUAGCCGGCCUGAGAGGGUGACCGGCCACACUGGGACUGAGAUACGGCCCAGACUCCUACGGGAGGCAGCAGUGGGGAAUAUUGCACAAUGGGCGCAAGCCUGAUGCAGCGACGCCGCGUGAGGGGAUGACGGCCUUCGGGUUGUAAACCUCUUUCANUAGGGACGAAGCGNAAGUGACGGUACCUNNAGAAGAAGCACCGGCCAACUACGUGCCAGCAGCCGCGGUAAUACGUAGGGUGCGAGCGUUGUCCGGAAUUACUGGGCGUAAAGAGCUCGUAGGUGGUUUGUCGCGUUGUUCGUGAAAACUCACAGCUUAACUGUGGGCGUGCGGGCGAUACGGGCAGACUAGAGUACUGCAGGGGAGACUGGAAUUCCUGGUGUAGCGGUGGAAUGCGCAGAUAUCAGGAGGAACACCGGUGGCGAAGGCGGGUCUCUGGGCAGUAACUGACGCUGAGGAGCGAAAGCGUGGGGAGCGAACAGGAUUAGAUACCCUGGUAGUCCACGCCGUAAACGGUGGGUACUAGGUGUGGGUUCCUUCCUUGGGAUCCGUGCCGUAGCUAACGCAUUAAGUACCCCGCCUGGGGAGUACGGCCGCAAGGCUAAAACUCAAAGGAAUUGACGGGGGCCCGCACAAGCGGCGGAGCAUGUGGAUUAAUUCGAUGCAACGCGAAGAACCUUACCUGGGUUUGACAUGCACAGGACGCCGGCAGAGAUGUCGGUUCCCUUGUGGCCUGUGUGCAGGUGGUGCAUGGCUGUCGUCAGCUCGUGUCGUGAGAUGUUGGGUUAAGUCCCGCAACGAGCGCAACCCUUGUCCUAUGUUGCCAGCGGGUUAUGCCGGGGACUCGUAGGAGACUGCCGGGGUCAACUCGGAGGAAGGUGGGGAUGACGUCAAGUCAUCAUGCCCCUUAUGUCCAGGGCUUCACACAUGCUACAAUGGCCGGUACAAAGGGCUGCGAUGCCGUGAGGUGGAGCGAAUCCUUUCAAAGCCGGUCUCAGUUCGGAUCGGGGUCUGCAACUCGACCCCGUGAAGUCGGAGUCGCUAGUAAUCGCAGAUCAGCAACGCUGCGGUGAAUACGUUCCCGGGCCUUGUACACACCGCCCGUCACGUCAUGAAAGUCGGUAACACCCGAAGCCGG